rnacentral:rRNA from 1 species
ACCUAUGGGAAUACAGAAGAUCCUGUCCACUCUCGUGAACUUAAGCCACUCAUCAUAAUGACCGGACUAGUAGUUGGGUCGGUGACGACCAGCGAAUACCUGGUAUUGUACGUU